rnacentral:rRNA from 1 species
UUUUAUGAGAGUUUGAUCCUGGCUCAGGACGAACGCUGGCGGCGUGCCUAAUACAUGCAAGUCGAACGCUUCUUUUUCCACCGGAGCUUGCUCCACCGGAAAAAGAGGAGUGGCGAACGGGUGAGUAACACGUGGGUAACCUGCCCAUCAGAAGGGGAUAACACUUGGAAACAGGUGCUAAUACCGUAUAACAAUCAAAACCGCAUGGUUUUGAUUUGAAAGGCGCUUUCGGGUGUCGCUGAUGGAUGGACCCGCGGUGCAUUAGCUAGUUGGUGAGGUAACGGCUCACCAAGGCCACGAUGCAUAGCCGACCUGAGAGGGUGAUCGGCCACAUUGGGACUGAGACACGGCCCAAACUCCUACGGGAGGCAGCAGUAGGGAAUCUUCGGCAAUGGACGAAAGUCUGACCGAGCAACGCCGCGUGAGUGA